rnacentral:lncRNA from 1 species
GGUUUCACCAUGUUGCCCAGGCUGGUCUCGAAUUCCUGACCUCAGGCGAUCCUCCUGCCACGGCCUCUCAAAGUGCUGGGAUUACAGGUGUGAACCACUGCACACAGGCAGAAGAAAGAACUUUCUAACAAUCCCAACUAUCUGUGGAUGGGCAAGGCAUUCACAGCAGGACGUGGAGGAUUUGCUGAUGUGAGAACCAAACUUUGCAGCAGUUGUUCCUCAGGCAAGCUGUUCCAGUGCAAUCACUACUCACUGUAUCCUCGACCUCCCAGACUCAGGUGACCCUCCCACCUUAGCCUCCUGAGUAGCUGGGACUACAAGCACAUGCCACCAUGCCCAGAUAAUUUUUGUAUUUUUUGUAGGGAUGGGAUUUCGCCAUGUUGCCCAGGCUGAUCUGGAACUCCUGGGCUCAAGUGAUCCACCUGCCUCAGCCUCCCAAAUUGCUAGGAUUGCAGGUGUGAGCCACCAAGCCUG